GGAAUUGACGGGGACCCGCACAAGCGGUGGAGCAUGUGGUUUAAUUCGAAGCAACGCGAAGAACCUUACCAAGUCUUGACAUCGGAAUGAUCGUUCCUUAACAGGAGCUUCCCUACGGGGCAUUCCAGACAGGUGGUGCAUGGUUGUCGUCAGCUCGUGUCGUGAGAUGUUGGGUUAAGUCCCGCAACGAGCGCAACCCUUAUCCUUAGUAGCCAGCAGUUCGGCUGGGCACUCUGGGGAGACUGCCAGGGAUAACCUGGAGGAAGGUGGGGAUGACGUCAAAUCAUCAUGCCCCUUAUGAUUUGGGCUACACACGUGCUACAAUGGCGUAAACAAAGGGAAGCGAGGG
rnacentral:rRNA from 1 species